UACGUAGGGUGCAAGCGUUAUCCGGAAUCACUGGGCGUAAAGCGUGCGUAGGUGGCGCGUUAAGUGAGAUGUUAAAUCGUGUGGCUCAACCAUAUCGAUGCGUCUCAUACUGGCGUGCUAGAGGACAGCAGAGGCAAGUGGAACUUGUAGUGUAGCAGUGAAAUGCGUAGAUAUUACAAAGAACACCAAUGGCGAAGGCAGCUUGCUGGGCUACUCCUGACACUGAGGUACGAAAGCGUGGGGAGCAAACAGG
rnacentral:rRNA from 1 species